UGAGUAAUGCCUAGGAAUCUGCCUGGUAGUGGGGGAUAACGUUCGGAAACGGACGCUAAUACCGCAUACGUCCUACGGGAGAAAGCAGGGGACCUUCGGGCCUUGCGCUAUCAGAUGAGCCUAGGUCGGAUUAGCUAGUUGGUGAGGUAAUGGCUCACCAAGGCGACGAUCCGUAACUGGUCUGAGAGGAUGAUCAGUCACACUGGAACUGAGACACGGUCCAGACUCCUACGGGAGGCAGCAGUGGGGAAUAUUGGACAAUGGGCGAAAGCCUGAUCCAGCCAUGCCGCGUGUGUGAAGAAGGUCUUCGGAUUGUAAAGCACUUUAAGUUGGGAGGAAGGGCAGUUACCUAAUACGUGAUUGUUUUGACGUUACCGACAGAAUAAGCACCGGCUAACUCUGUGCCAGCAGCCGCGGUAAUACAGAGGGUGCAAGCGUUAAUCGGAAUUACUGGGCGUAAAGCGCGCGUAGGUGGUUAGUUAAGUUGGAUGUGAAAUCCCCGGGCUCAACCUGGGAACUGCAUUCAAAACUGACUGACUAGAGUAUGGUAGAGGGUGGUGGAAUUUCCUGUGUAGCGGUGAAAUGCGUAGAUAUAGG
rnacentral:rRNA from 1 species